GAUCAGUCCUGGGCGCGCAGUGAGCCCGCCUUCGCCUCCGGCCGCCCUCAGGUCCUGGGGAUAAAGACAAACAAAAAAUUGGAAAGAGCCUCUGUUCUCUGGGAGUUUUUGUGGGAAAUAGAGGAGGAUCCAUAGAAACCCAGAAUCUACAGUGACUCUGCCAAGCUGGGCUAUAGAUGAACUUCAGUGUUUCCUAAAUAAAUAU
rnacentral:lncRNA from 1 species